GUGCUCGCUUCCUCAGCACAUAUACUAAAAUUGGAACGAUACAGAGAUUAUCAUGGCCCCUGCGCAAAGAUGACAUGCAAAUUCGUGAAGCGUUCCAUGUUAAA
rnacentral:snRNA from 1 species